rnacentral:rRNA from 1 species
ACGGGAGGCAGCAGUGGGGAAUAUUGGACAAUGGGCGAAAGCCUGAUCCAGCGACGCCGCGUGAGUGAAGAAGUAUUUCGGUAUGUAAAGCUCUAUCAGCAGGGAAGAUAAUGACGGUACCUGACUAAGAAGCACCGGCUAAAUACGUGCCAGCAGCCGCGGUAAUACGUAUGGUGCAAGCGUUAUCCGGAUUUACUGGGUGUAAAGGGUGCGUAGGCGGCACGGCAAGUCAGGAGUGAAAUCCCAGGGCUCAACCCUGGAACUGCUUUUGAAACUGUCGAGCUAGAGUACAGGAGAGGUAAGCGGAAUUCCUAGUGUAGCGGUGAAAUGCGUAGAUAUUAGGAGGAACACCAGUGGCGAAGGCGGCUUACUGGACUGACACUGACGCUGAGGCACGAAAGCGUGGGGAGCAAACAGGAUUAGAUACCCUGGUA